UCAGCUGAACAGGGGACACGUCCAAUCAAUUUUAUAACGAAAUAAUGCCCUUUCUGGGUUGAUUUACUGUAUUGAACCUGAGGGGGCAGCUGCAGAAUCUGAAACCAGACUUGCAGACUUGCUGAGGGUGGUCAGGCAAUGCUGGGAAUUCACUGAGAACAGAUUUUGCUUCAUCUGGUGAAUUUUGUGGAAAAGUUGGGAACAGGGAGAGCAACUUCCAGCCAGAACUGCCAGUUCCUGCCUCUUGGUGGCUGGGAAGAAGCUGCUGAACUUCAACCCAAGAUUCUCUUCGAAUUGCUCCAUGUCUUUCCCCAAAUGUGGUGCCCAACAUGGAAUAAAGUAACCCAGCCAAGACCAGAGGAGUGUGGAAGGAUUAUUUCCCAUGUCUUACUAUUUCCCCAAUGUCUGCCAGUGCUCAAAUCCAGGAUUGAAGAAGAUGUUUUCUACUGCUGUUAUAGAUGGAUGCUGCUGGUGAAUCAGCAC